rnacentral:rRNA from 1 species
CCUACGGGCGGCAGCAGUGGGGAAUAUUGCACAAUGGGCGCAAGCCUGAUGCAGCCAUGCCGCGUGUGUGAAGAAGGCCUUCGGGUUGUAAAGCACUUUCAGCGGGGAGGAAGGCGGUGAGGUUAAUAACCUCAUCGAUUGACGUUACCCGCAGAAGAAGCACCGGCUAACUCCGUGCCAGCAGCCGCGGUAAUACGGAGGGUGCAAGCGUUAAUCGGAAUUACUGGGCGUAAAGCGCACGCAGGCGGUCUGUCAAGUCGGAUGUGAAAUCCCCGGGCUCAACCUGGGAACUGCAUUCGAAACUGGCAGGCUAGCGUCUGGUAGAGGGGGGUAGAAUUCCAGGUGUAGCGGUGAAAUGCGUAGAGAUCUGGAGGAAUACCGGUGGCGAAGGCGGCCCCCUGGACAAAGACUGACGCUCAGGUGCGAAAGCGUGGGGAGCAAACAGGAUUAGAUACCCGUGUAGUC